rnacentral:rRNA from 1 species
UACGUAGGGUGCGAGCGUUAAUCGGAAUUACUGGGCGUAAAGCGUGCGCAGGCGGUUGGCUAAGACAGGUGUGAAAUCCCCGGGCUUAACCUGGGAAUGGCGCUUGAGACUGGGCGGCUGGAGUUGAGUAGAGGAAAGGGGAAUUUCCGGUGUAGCGGUGAAAUGCGUAGAGAUGGGAAGGAACACCAGUGGCGAAGGCGGCUCCCUGGACUCAAACUGACGCUGAGGUACGAAAGCGUGGGUAGCAAACAGG